UUCAACGCGGUUCGCGUAGAUAUUCAGACGACGAUUUAUUAUGCAUGUAAGUCGAUCGUCGGCGAAGGAACUUUUCCAAGACUUCGCGUACACGAUUUGCAAAAGAUGAGGCUGGACGAAGGAUAUCGCGAAGAACACGCGGUUAAAUCGCGGAAUCUUGAUGAGAAUCCUGAGGAAGCUGGAUUUCAUCGUCUCGAAGGGUGUCUGAAAGAUAACCGAAUUCCGGAGACCAUCGAGCCGGACCGUUUGUAGGCGAACGUGUAAAUUCACGGGCGAUAUAGUGGCUGUGAUACUACGUUCUACGAGAUAUGUUCUCAAACGAAUGCCGUUGUAGAAAGAGACAGUCCCUACAUCGUUGGUGGAAACGCGAGGAGAGGAGAGAAGGAAGGGAAAACGUUGUGCACGCUACCGUAACUUCGCGUCACGGCCGGUGAGCUUCAUCGAUCACCGGCCAACUCAAUUUGUCUCCAUUGAUACCAAUCUGCUGAGCAAGCUCGUCCCCUUUCCACCUUCCAUCCCCCAGUACCUCUUCCAACCUUCUCUCUCUCACUCUCUCUUUCUCUCACUCUCUCUCACUCUCUCUUUCUCUCACUCUCUCUCACUCUCUCUCACUCUCUCUCUCUUUCUCUCACUCUCUCUCUCUUUUUCUCUCUCUCAUUCUCUCUCUCUCUCUAUUUCACGAUGCUUGUUGGUCCUUCUCUCGUCUUGCCCUUUCUCUUUCGUCGACGAAAUUCCUUCUUACAGAGCGUAACACACGCCUAGACGACGUAGAUCUUUGUAGUCUAGCUUCCACUUAACAGCGCCUCGUCUCAUCGCGUGCACAUCCACCUGUUUAUCCGCAGCAAUUUAUACCGCGAUGGAAGCAGUCUGACAAGCGAUGCAGUUUUACGAGAUCGAUUACCAAUGGUGAUAACGUUCUAACGUUGGAUUUGAACCUUUUCGAGGCAGAUCUUUGUUUUAAUCCUGUGACAGUGCUAUAAAGUAACGAAGAAUUUUAAACGAACCUUUCAGAGAGUAAUUAUUUUUUUGCGAAUAAGAUUUUUUGCGUUUUUGGUAUCAGAUUUUCUAUUCUAUAGAUUUUCUACACGUGCGAAACAUAAUAUAUAUUAUAAUACUAUAUAUAUUGUAGUUUAUUAGUCGUUUUAUAAAUUUCGGUAACAAGUUCUGUUGUCAAACUUUAUCAUUAUUGUAUGUAUUAAAAAAAAAAAAAAGGAAAUGUAGAAUUUCUGAAGCGUAAAGCGAAAGCGUUGGUUAGAAUUUCCGAGAAACAGUAGUAUAGUCCCGUAUCGAGUUAGACUCCGGGGCACCGGAAUUCAUCGUCUUAUCCGUUCUUUUCUUCAUCCGGACCGACUCGCUCCUUCCCGGUGCAAGUCGAAAGUCAAUAAUCUGGAGUAAUCUGUCUUUCCGGCAGAAGCUAUUUUCAUUGUACUCGAGAUCCACAGUGAGUCACGGUCGGCGUGCGUUAAUCAACUAAAAGCUGGUAGUCUGAGUUUACACACCGCGUCUCAAUAGCUACUAUCGUCUAUCUCUCAUACCGAUAGUGAAGCUUCUCUCGAACGUCGGCUAGAAGAUGCAGAUACGUAUGGGCAUACAAUCAAAUUGCCUUGGUAAUCAUAUGACAUUAGUUGAUUACGUUGACAAAACUCAAACUCCUUAGAUCUUUAUGUAGGAUUGUAUUUUUAUAAUAUUUUUUUUCGUACGAUGUUCAUGCUCGUUGUUUAAUUUUAGUGCGUGUAAUUCCUUACAAAAAUUUACUUCUAAUGCGUCGUUACCGAUACUUGAGACGGAAAACUUAAGACUUACAGAAGUAGCCAAGUUUCCUGCGAAAGAUCCUACUUAGUUGCAUAAAGUAUUAUCGUCGUAAGGACGAAACGGUGAAGAGCUCUCGGAAUCUCGAAGGGAUGUUCUGCCAUUUUAGAAUCUAUAAAAACUUCUUGCUUAAGAACCGACCGUAGUUCGUAAUGGAACUCGUAAAAUGCUUAUUUCCUUCGCAAACCUCUUUUGCAUCAACUCUCUCUCUCUCUCUCUCUCUCUCUCUCUCUACGUAUCAACAACAAAUAAUAAUAUUGAUUACAUUUAAUAAAAAUAUCAAAUGACUUGGAAAUAGUUUACGGUUAUUAAUAAAAAAAAUCGCAUUUGUAUGAAACGACCACGAAAGGGUAAUCGCAAUUCAUUAUCAUAAACGAUACUGAAAUUGUUGUCCAUUCGCUGUAGUACGAAAGGAUAUCAUUACGUUAAGGUAAUUUAAAAUUUAUUAAUUCAUAUAAGAGUAUAAUCCUAAUUUCAAUAUGUAUAUAGGUCAAUAACAAAAAAAAAAAAAAAAAUAAAAUA